rnacentral:rRNA from 1 species
GACGAACGCUGGCGGCGUGCUUAACACAUGCAAGUCGAACGCUGAAGCCCUUCGGGGUGGAUGAGUGGCGAACGGGUGAGUAACACGUGAGUAAUCUGCCCUGCACUCUGGGAUAAGCCUUGGAAACGGGGUCUAAUACCGGAUAGGACACAUCGCCGCAUGGUGUGUGUGUGGAAAGUUCCGGCGGUGCAGGUUGAGCCCGCGGCCUAUCAGCUUGUUGGUGGGGUGAUGGCCUACCAAGGCGACGACGGGUAGCCGGCCUGAGAAGGUGACCGGCCAAACUGGCAGGGAGACACGGCCCAGACGCCUACGGGAGGCAGCAGUGGGGAAUCUUGCGUAAUGGGCGAAAGCCCGACGCAGCAACGCCGCGUGGGGGAUGACGGCCUUCGGGUUGUAAACCUCUUUCGACCGGGACGAAGGAUUCGUUUGACGGUACCGGUAGAAGAAGCACCGGCUAACUACGUGCCAGCAGCCGCAGUAAUAC